rnacentral:rRNA from 1 species
UACAGAGGUCCCAAGCGUUGUUCGGAUUCACUGGGCGUAAAGGGUGCGUAGGCGGUUGGGUAAGUCUGUCGUGAAAUCUCCGAGCCUAACUCGGAAACUGCGUCGGAUACUAUUCAACUCGAGGAAUGGAGGGGAGACUGGAAUUCUCGGUGUAGCAGUGAAAUGCGUAGAUAUCGGGAGGAACACCUGUGGCGAAAGCGGCGCACUGGACCAUAACUGACGCUGAGGCGCGAAAGCUAGGGGAGCAAACAGG